AGAGUUUGAUCAUGGCUCAGAUUGAACGCUGGCGGCAGGCCUAACACAUGCAAGUCGAGCGGUAGAGAGAAGCUUGCUUCUCUUGAGAGCGGCGGACGGGUGAGUAACACCUAGGAAUCUGCCUGGUAGUGGGGGAUAACGUUCGGAAACGGACGCUAAUACCGCAUACGUCCUACGGGAGAAAGCAGGGGACCUUCGGGCCUUGCGCUAUCAGAUGAGCCUAGGUCGGAUUAGCUUGUUGGUGAGGUAAUGGCUCACCAAGGCGACGAUCCGUAACUGGUCUGAGAGGAUGAUCAGUCACACUGGAACUGAGACACGGUCCAGACUCCUACGGGAGGCAGCAGUGGGGAAUAUUGGACAAUGGGCGAAAGCCUGAUCCAGCCAUGCCGCGUGUGUGAAGAAGGUCUUCGGAUUGUAAAGCACUUUAAGUUGGGAGGAAGGGCAUUAACCUAAUACGUUGGUGUCUUGACGUUACCGACAGAAUAAGCACCGGCUAACUCUGUGCCAGCAGCCGCGGUAAUACAGAGGGUGCAAGCGUUAAUCGGAAUUACUGGGCGUAAAGCGCGCGUAGGUGGUUCGUUAAGUUGGAUGUGAAAUCCCCGGGCUCAACCUGGGAACUGCAUUCAAAACUGACGAGCUAGAGUAUGGUAGAGGGUGGUGGAAUUUCCUGUGUAGCGGUGAAAUGCGCAGAUAUCAGGAGGAACACCGGUGGCGAAGGCGGCUUGCUGGGCCUUACCUGACGCUGAGGAGCGAAAGCGUGGGGAGCGAACAGGAUUAGAUACCCUGGUAGUCCACGCUGUAAACGUUGGGCGCUAGGUGUGGGGAUCUUCCACGAUCUCCGUGCCGGAGCUAACGCAUUAAGCGCCCCGCCUGGGGAGUACGGCCGCAAGGCUAAAACUCAAAGGAAUUGACGGGGGCCCGCACAAGCGGCGGAGCAUGUUGCUUAAUUCGACGCAACGCGAAGAACCUUACCAAGGUUUGACAUCACCCGGAAACGCUCAGAGAUGGGCGCCUCUUCGGACUGGGUGACAGGUGGUGCAUGGCUGUCGUCAGCUCGUGUCGUGAGAUGUUGGGUUAAGUCCCGCAACGAGCGCAACCCUUGUUCCAUGUUGCCAGCACGCUCCUUCGGGGGUGGUGGGGACUCAUGGGAGACUGCCGGGGUCAACUCGGAGGAAGGUGGGGAUGACGUCAAGUCAUCAUGCCCCUUAUGUCUUGGGCUGCAAACAUGCUACAAUGGCCGGUACAGAGGGCUGCUAAACCGUGAGGUGGAGCGAAUCCCUAAAAGCCGGUCUCAGUUCGGAUUGGGGUCUGCAACUCGACCCCAUGAAGUCGGAGUCGCUAGUAAUCGCAGAUCAGCAACGCUGCGGUGAAUACGUUCCCGGGCCUUGUACACACCGCCCGUCACGUCACGAAAGUCGGCAACACCCGAAGCCCGUGGCCCAACCACCUUGUGUGGGGGGAGCGGUCGAAGGUGGGGCUGGCGAUUGGGACGAAGUCGUAACAAGGUA
rnacentral:rRNA from 1 species